CAACCAUCAAGCCCUAGGCUUGUGUUGGGGCCCUGCGGCUGUCCGCAGCCCCCUAAAAACAGUGGCGGGCUCGCUAUAUACCGAGUGCAGUAGUUUACUCUUCGCUCAGGACAUGUAGUGGGUUCUUGCCGUAAAACCCCCCAUUUUUUAA
rnacentral:misc_RNA from 1 species